GACGAACGCUGGCGGCGUGCUUAACACAUGCAAGUCGAACGGAGAUUAAGGAGUCAGUUUACUGAAGCUUUAAUCUUAGUGGCGGACGGGUGAGUAACGCGUGGGUAACCUACCCUGAAUACCGGGACAACAGCUGGAAACGGCUGCUAAUACCGGAUAAUCUCUUAAGAAGGCAUCUUUUUAAGAGGAAAGGUGGCCUCUUUUAAAAGCUACCGAUUAAGGAUGGACCCGCGUCUGAUUAGCUAGUUGGUAGGGUAGCGGCUUACCAAGGCUUCGAUCAGUAGCCGGCCUGAGAGGGUGACCGGCCACACUGGGACUGAGACACGGCCCAGACUCCUACGGGAGGCAGCAGUGGGGAAUCUUCCGCAAUGGGCGCAAGCCUGACGGAGCAACGCCGCGUGAAUGAAGAAGGCCUUCGGGUCGUAAAGUUCUGUUGAAAGGGAAGAAGUCUUUCAUGUGAAUAAUGUGAGAAGGUGACGGUACCUUUUGAGGAAGCUCCGGCUAACUACGUGCCAGCAGCCGCGGU
rnacentral:rRNA from 1 species